rnacentral:rRNA from 1 species
GGAUGAACGCUGGCGGCGUGCCUAAUACAUGCAAGUCGAACGAGUUCUCGUUGAUGAUCGGUGCUUGCACCGAGAUUCAACAUGGAACGAGUGGCGGACGGGUGAGUAACACGUGGGUAACCUGCCCUUAAGUGGGGGAUAACAUUUGGAAACAGAUGCUAAUACCGCAUAGAUCCAAGAACCGCAUGGUUCUUGGCUGAAAGAUGGCGUAAGCUAUCGCUUUUGGAUGGACCCGCGGCGUAUUAGCUAGUUGGUGAGGUAAUGGCUCACCAAGGCGAUGAUACGUAGCCGAACUGAGAGGUUGAUCGGCCACAUUGGGACUGAGACACGGCCCAAACUCCUACGGGAGGCAGCAGUAGGGAAUCUUCCACAAUGGACGCAAGUCUGAUGGAGCAACGCCGCGUGAGUGAAGAAGGCUUUCGGGUCGUAAAACUCUGUUGUUGGAGAAGAAUGGUCGGCAGAGUAACUGUUGUCGGCGUGACGGUAUCCAACCAGAAAGCCACGGCUAACUACGUGCCAGCAGCCGCGGUAAUACGUAGGUGGCAAGCGUUAUCCGGAUUUAUUGGGCGUAAAGCGAGCGCAGGCGGUUUUUUAAGUCUGAUGUGAAAGCCCUCGGCUUAACCGAGGAAGCGCAUCGGAAACUGGGAAACUUGAGUGCAGAAGAGGACAGUGGAACUCCAUGUGUAGCGGUGAAAUGCGUAGAUAUAUGGAAGAACACCAGUGGCGAAGGCGGCUGUCUGGUCUGUAACUGACGCUGAGGCUCGAAAGCAUGGGUAGCGAACAGGAUUAGAUACCCUGGUAGUCCAUGCCGUAAACGAUGAAUGCUAGGUGUUGGAGGGUUUCCGCCCUUCAGUGCCGCAGCUAACGCAUUAAGCAUUCCGCCUGGGGAGUACGACCGCAAGGUUGAAACUCAAAGGAAUUGACGGGGGCCCGCACAAGCGGUGGAGCAUGUGGUUUAAUUCGAAGCAACGCGAAGAACCUUACCAGGUCUUGACAUCUUUUGAUCACCUGAGAGAUCAGGUUUCCCCUUCGGGGGCAAAAUGACAGGUGGUGCUUGGUUGUCGUCAGCUCGUGUCGUGAGAUGUUGGGUUAAGUCCCGCAACGAGCGCAACCCUUAUGACUAGUUGCCAGCAUUUAGUUGGGCACUCUAGUAAGACUGCCGGUGACAAACCGGAGGAAGGUGGGGAUGACGUCAAAUCAUCAUGCCCCUUAUGACCUGGGCUACACACGUGCUACAAUGGAUGGUACAACGAGUUGCGAGACCGCGAGGUCAAGCUAAUCUCUUAAAGCCAUUCUCAGUUCGGACUGUAGGCUGCAACUCGCCUACACGAAGUCGGAAUCGCUAGUAAUCGCGGAUCAGCACGCCGCGGUGAAUACGUUCCCGGGCCUUGUACACACCGCCCGUCACACCAUGAGAGUUUGUAACACCCGAAGCCGGUGGCGUAACCCUUUUAGGGAGCGAGCCGUCUAAGGUGGGACAAAUGAUUAGGGUGA